rnacentral:misc_RNA from 1 species
AAGUCGUAACAAGGUUUCCGUAGGUGAACCUGCGGAAGGAUCAUUAAAGAUUUAAUAUUAAUUGUGAAAUUAAAACGAUAUUAACAAAAAAUCAUACAAUCAAUUAUAAAAAAAAUCAAAACUUUUAACAAUGGAUCUCUUGGUUCUC